rnacentral:rRNA from 1 species
CCUACGGGUGGCUGCAGUGAGGAAUAUUGGUCAAUGGUCGGGAGACUGAACCAGCCAAGCCGCGUGAGGGAGGAAGGUCCAGAGUAUCGUAAACCUCUUUUGUCAGGGAACAAAGACUGGGACGCGUCCCCGGAUGAGUGUACCUGAAGAAAAAGCAUCGGCUAACUCCGUGCCAGCAGCCGCGGUAAUACGGAGGAUGCGAGCGUUAUCCGGAUUUAUUGGGUUUAAAGGGUGCGCAGGCGGUGUGUAAAGUCAGCGGUAAAAGCCCGGGGCUCAACCCCGGCCCGCCGUUGAAACUGGCAGUCUUGAGUUGGAGAGAAGUAUGCGGAAUGCGCGGUGUAGCGGUGAAAUGCAUAGAUAUCGCGCAGAACUCCGAUUGCGAAGGCAGCAUGCCGGCUCCACACUGAUGCUGAGGCACGAAAGCGUGGGUAUCGAACAGGAUUAGAUACCCUGGUAGUC